AGGACGAACGCUGGCGGCGUGCUUAACACAUGCAAGUCGAGCGGAAAGGCCCUUCGGGGUACUCGAGCGGCGAACGGGUGAGUAACACGUGAGCAACCUGCCCUUAGCUUCGGGAUAGCUCCGGGAAACCGGAAUUAAUACCGAAUAUGACUUUGGCUGACAUCAGCAGAAGUGGUAAAGUUUUUCGGCUAGGGAUGGACUCGCGGCCUAUCAGCUAGUUGGUGAGGUAACGGCCCACAAGGCGACGACGGGUA
rnacentral:rRNA from 1 species